rnacentral:rRNA from 1 species
CCCUUAGAUGUUCUGGGCCGCACGCGCGCUACACUGACGAUGGCAACGAGUUUUUCCUUCGCCGAAAGGUGUGGGUAAUCUUUUGAAACAUCGUCGUGCUGGGGAUAGAUCAUUGCAAUUUUUGAUCUUGAACGAGGAAUUCCUAGUAAGCGCGAGUAAUCAGCUCGCGUUGAUUACGUCCCUGCCCUUUGUACACACCGCCCGUCGCUACUACCGAUUGAAUGGUUUAGUGAGGACUCCUGAUUGGCGCCGCCGCCCCGGCAACGGAGCAGCGGACUGCCGAAAAGUUGUUCAAACUUGAUCAUUUAGAGGAAGUAAAAGUCGUAACA